rnacentral:rRNA from 1 species
CAAGGGGGUCAUCCCGACUUACCAACCCGAUGCAAACUGCGAAUACCGGAGAAUGUUAUCACGGGAGACACACGGCGGGUGCUAACGUCCGUCGUGAAGAGGGAAACAACCCAGACCGCCAGCUAAGGUCCCAAAGUCAUGGUUAAGUGGGAAACGAUGUGGGAAGGCCCAGACAGCCAGGAUGUUGGCUUAGAAGCAGCCAUCAUUUAAAGAAAGCGUAAUAGCUCACUGGUCGAGUCGGCCUGCGCGGAAGAUGUAACGGGGCUAAACCAUGCACCGAAGCUGCGGCAGCGACGCUGAUGCGUUGUUGGGUAGGGGAGCGUUCUGUAAGCCUGCGAAGGUGUGCUGUGAGGCAUGCUGGAGGUAUCAGAAGUGCGAAUGCUGACAUAAGUAACGAUAAAGCGGGUGAAAAGCCCGCUCGCCGGAAGACCAAGGGUUCCUGUCCAACGUUAAUCGGGGCAGGGUGAGUCGACCCCUAAGGCGAGGCCGAAAGGCGUAGUCGAUGGGAAACAGGUUAAUAUUCCUGUACUUGGUGUUACUGCGAAGGGGGGACGGAGAAGGCUAUGUUGGCCGGGCGACGGUUGUCCCGGUUUAAG